AACAACCCUUAUUGAAAACACUGAAAAAAUGGGAGCAAUAGUUCUUGAUCUUAAGGCCAAGUUGAUGGACCAAAUAGAAUGGUUACCUGUUUCAAUUGGGAAAUUAAACAGUGUGACCGAACUAGAUUUAUCCGAAAAUCGAAUAAUGGCGUUGCCGCCUUCUAUCGAUGGUCUUCAAGCAUUGACAAAGCUCGAUCUUCACUCAAACCAACUCAUAAACCUUCCUGAUGGAAUUGGGGAACUUGUCAACCUACUAGAGCUUGAUCUCCAUGCAAAUCGAUUAAGCUCAUUACCUGCUUCGUUCGGAAACUUGAAGAACCUAAUGAAUCUCGAUUUGAGUUCAAACAACUUCACUCAUUUGCCAGAUACAAUUGGUAACUUGACUUCUUUGAAGAGACUAAUUGUUGAAACAAAUGAACUUGAAGAACUUCCAUACACAAUUGGAAAUUGCUCCUCAUUAUUGGUGUUGAGGUUGGAUUUUAAUAGGAUAAAGGCGUUGCCCGAGGCGAUCGGAAAGCUCGAAUGCUUGGAGAUACUUACAUCACACUAUAAUAGGAUCAAAGGGUUGUCAACAACAAUGGGAAACCUUUCAAAUUUAAAAUAGCUUGAUGUUGGCUUCAAUGAGAUUGAAUCCAUCCCUGAGACCCUUUGUUUUGCAAUAAGUCUAAGAAAAUUGAAAGUUGGGAAGAACUUUGCGGACCUUAGAGCCUUGCCGAGAUCGAUUGGAAACCUCGAGAUGCUUGAAGAGUUAGAUAUAAAUGACAAUCAGAUAGGAGUUUUACCCGAUUCUUUUCGAUUCUUAUCCAAAUUGAGAGUUUUUCAUGUCGAUGAGACUCCAUUGGAAGUUCCAUCAAGAGAAGUAAUCAAAUUAGGUGCUAAGAUAUGCUAAUUCAUUAUUAUAUCACCUUGAAUUGAUCUUGCUAGUUUACACUCAUUCAAAUUCUUUUGUACAUUUUAGGCAGUUGUUCAAUUCAUGGUUGACCUUGUUGCUAAUAGAGAUACCAAAUCUCCAUCACCAAAGAAAAAGAAGAGUUUUUAUUUCGAGUUCCGAUCAAUUUUUCGACAAUCUCGGACUGCGAGUACUGAGAACAUGUAGCAAGUGAAUUCCUACUAUAAAGCAUUUUAUCAAUUUAUAUAUAUGUAUAUGUAUAUCUGCUCUACAUAGCUUCAGGUGUUCGAUUUCUUUUCUAAGAUUUGCUUACAACAUGAGAUAUAUUACUUGUAUAUUAUUUGUGGGAUGAUUUCAAAGCUUUGUGUAGACUUUGUAAUGUAUUUUUGUUCUAACUCAACUCAAAGUUAGACAGUAUUAUUUUUUUCCGAGUUAUUUCGAAAGCAUGUCUUUCAAAAUUGCUAAUCAAAUCAUUUUUUAGUCUGACAGGGGUGAAUUUAAGUGGACAAACCCCCUAAAUGAAAAUUUGAAUUAAAUAUAUAUAUGAUAACAUCUUUUUAGUCCUUUAAAAUGAUGAAUUAUAAACUAGUAAAUGAUAAAAUUAUAUUUUAAUCUCUCCAAAAUUUAUAAUUAUUAUUUUUAGAUUCAUCUCUAGAUUCAAGUUCUUUGAAGAUUCGAGUAAUUUUGGAUUCACGUAAUUUCUUAUUCAAAUAAUUAUUAAACAAGUUUGAGUUGAUAACUUUUUAUGACCAAAUAGGUUAUGUCAUAUUUUAAAUUUAGAUUGAUACGAUGGACUUUUCAAAUUCCGAUAAGAAUUGACAGAUUCUAUAAUGCAAUUAAAUUAAUAAUUAAAACACACACUUCAUUUUUAUAUGCUUUUUACACUGUGAUUAAAAAAAAUCCCAGAACAGCAUGAAAAGAACUUCAAAACAAUUGCCAUACAUAAUAUAGUGUAUAAAACAAUAUUAUUUGGCAACAAUAUGUUAUGAAGAUGAUGUUAAUUGAAUUAAAAUCAAAAGUUGACUAAUUAAAUAGCUUUUGUUGUUUUUUCAAGGGAAAAAAAACUGUGGGCUUUAAUUUAAUCAAGUCAAUUUCAACAAUUUAGCUGGUUUCUCAAAUGUGGAACUUGAGCUAGAGUUUUGUGGAUAAACCCCUUUUCCUCUCUCUCUCUCUCUCUUUUUCUCAUUAUUGUCAAACUCAAGAAAGAAUCAUAGGGUCUAAAUUAAUCAAAUUUGAAAUUGAUAUGAAAUUGAAAUGAUUUGAAUUUGAAAUAACUUGAAAAUUGUUUAAAUUUUAAAUUAAUUAAUAAUUCAAUUCAAAAAUCCAAACUUUAAAUUCGGAUGUCGAACUUGAAAUUAAAAUAAUCUGAAUUUAAAUUGAUUCAAACUAAAUUUUUUUGAAAUUUUUAAAAGCCGAAAUAAUUUAUCCAUAUUAAGAUUCAUCAUAAAAAAAGAAAAAAAAAACAAAAAUAUGCUCAAAUCAUGUAUGAUUUUUGUCUUCGAAUUUAGUAAAAAAAUAACCUUAUAAUGACAAGUAAAUUAAAUAAUUUUAAAUUGGUGCCUACUUUUUGGAAUUAAGUCUAAACUUAAUUUUCAGGCCCUAAUUAAAUAUGGAAUCCAACUUUAUUAAUUAAGAUUAAUGAAAAAGUUGACUUUAGAAAUUAUAGAACAUGAAGCAUUCAAACAUAAGCCACCAUUUCUCGGGUAAAAUUCAAAAACGAAUUAAAUAUUAUUAGUAAAAAUUAAUAAAUAUUAUUUAAAAACUAUUUUUUAUCUUUUACAUAAAAUCUAUUUAUAUUUUACAUAAAAUCAAUUUAAAUCAAGUGAGACUUUAAUUUAUUUUUAAUAUAAUAUUUUUAUAAAUAUAUAUUAUAUAAUAUUUUUUAUCCAUAUUGUGUCAACUAUUUUAAAAAAAAAAUUCAGGUGAUAAAGGUGAUUAAUUUCAAAGUGACUUGUUAAAAAAAAGUGUGACGAAAUCUAAAAUCGGGUGAAAUUAAAAAAUAUAUUACAAAUCUCAUUGGUUAAAAAACAAAUUGCUUUGUCCCUUGUUGAAACUUCAAAAUCUUUUGUAAACAAACCAUUUCCUUGUCACCCCCAAGAACCCCAAGAAAAAAACCCACCAUAGCCAUGGCUGUGAAGUCAAAACAAAACCCAUCACCAGCUUUCAUAGAAACAAUACAAGAAAUCAUGAGACUUUACAAAUCACUUCCACCAAGACCUUCCAUUGAAGAAGUUGAAGCAGCCAAGACUGUUCUACAAACUGCAGAAAAUGAAGAAAAAACCAAGCUUGAAGCUAUCUCUAAAGACCAAUACCACCACCAACCCCUUGAAGGUGUCCCUGAUGAACUCUUGUCUAUUCUACAACAAGUGAGGAAAACCAUGGUGUUGUUUCAAAGCCAUGAACAAAAGAAAGAAGCCCUUUACUUGGUUGAAGUUGAUGAUAUGUUUGAGACCUUUGAUGGGUUGAUUGAAAGGGCUUCUUUAUUGGUUUCUGGGGAUAACUUGGAAGAGAAAGUGUGGGGAUUUGAUGGAGAAACUGUGAUUAGUGAUGAUCGUUUCGUUACAAGUUCUUGCAACUCAGGUAAAGNNNNNNNNNNNNNNNNNNNNNNNNNNNNNNNNNNNNNNNNNNNNNNNNNNNNNNNNNNNNNNNNNNNNNNNNNNNNNNNNNNNNNNNNNNNNNNNNNNNNUGUUUUUUUUUUUUUGAUGUGGAAAUUAAUUUUGUUGAUACACGGAGAGAGGGUGGUGACGAUGGUCAGUUCACUCCGUUUGAUGAAGGAAGUGGUUGGAGCUAUAAAGGAAGGUUGAGAAAGGAUUGAAGUAGAUAAUUUCUUGAUCCUUUCCUUAGGCUCCAUGAGCGAAUUUAGAAAUCUUUUCGGGUUAAAAUGGAAAAAUAAAAUUUUGAGAAAUUAAAAUAUAAUUUAUAAUGUAUUAAUUUAUGAUUAUUUUAGAAAAAUAUUAAAUAUAACUUUUUUUUAGAGGUCAAAGUGUAAUUUAUCAGAAUUUAAAUUUAAAUUUAAUUAUUUUAUCAGGAUUUUAGAUAGUAAUUUUUCCAUUUGAGGGGGGCCAAGCCCCUACUGCCUAUCCCCUUAAAUUCGCCCCUGUUAGGCUCUCAGCCUUAUAUAUGUUGAUUGUCCAUUAUCCCGAGGUGUCAUGUGGCAAAUUGAUAUUAAUAGAUCAAAAUCAAGUGGCACAACUCUAUAGGUCUAGGUAAGGUGACGAUAUGAUGUAAUUUGAGUCGUCUCUGAUGGAGCAUGAUGGUUGAGAUUUGAUAUGGUAGUUAAUGAAUGCACUUGCUUGCCAGUCAAGUUGCUAAUUGAGGAGGGUCAUCACAAGGGAUCUUCAAUGAGAAUCCUCUCUGACCAUUUGAGGUGUGACUGCUCGGGGGGAUUUAAUGAGGCGUAACAAGUUUCUUUUCUUCUUUUUAUUGUUACAUGCAUGGUUGUUUGAAUUGGGCCGGAUUGAGAAUCGGGCAGGGUACUAGUUUGGAAAGAGGUAUUAGACCGAUUGACCCACAACUUGGUAAAGAUCAAUUGAAUUGGGCUAAAAAUUGGUUCAACCGAUUUUUUAUAUAUUUUUUAUUUUUAUAAAUUUUUAAUAAUUUAUUUAAUUAAACUGUAUAAACUAAUCAGACCAGUGAAUUAGUGGUCUGACCAAUUCAACCACUAGCCUCGUUCUAAAAACCUUCGCCUCAUGUUAUUAGAUGAUGAAAUAAAAGGAGUUAUUACUUAUUAUGGAUCUAUAGUGAUAUCAUGUCAAUAAGAACUCAAGCAACUCAAGUCAUUUGUCACUAUAUUGGAUUUUAUGGUCUCCAAUACAAUAAGAAAUAGGAAAGUGCAAUGUAGUCCUAAUCAAAUGCUUUUGGUGUAUUUUUGCAGGUGAAGAUGGUAGUGGAAAACUAGACCUAAUGAAGAUAGCAACCCUUAUUGAAAGCACUGCAAAAAUGGGAGCAAUAGUUCUUGAUCUUAAGGCCAAGUUGAUGGACCAAAUAGAAUGGUUACCUGUUUCAAUUGGGAAAUUAAACAGUGUGACCGAACUAGAUUUAUCCGAAAAUCGAAUAAUGGCGUUGCCGCCUUCUAUCAAUGGGCUUCAAGCAUUGACAAAGCUCGAUCUUCACUCAAACCAACUCAUAAACCUUCCUGAUGGAAUUGGGGAACUUGUCAACCUACUAGAGCUUGAUCUCCAUGCAAAUCGAUUAAGCUCAUUACCUGCUUCGUUCGGGAACUUGAAGAACCUCAUGAAUCUCGAUUUGAGUUCAAACAACUUCACUCAUUUGCCAGAUACAAUUGGUAACUUGACUUCUUUGAAGAGACUAAUUGUUGAAACAAAUGAACUUGAAGAACUUCCAUACACAAUUGGAAAUUGCUCGUCAUUAUCGGUGUUGAGGUUGGAUUUUAAUAGGAUAAAGGCGUUGCCCGAGGCGAUUGGAAAGCUCGAAUGUUUGGAGAUACUUACGGC
rnacentral:lncRNA from 1 species